rnacentral:rRNA from 1 species
AGUGAACGCUGGCGGUAGGCCUAACACAUGCCAGUCGAACGGCAGCACAGUAAGAGCUUGCUCUUACGGGUGGCGAGUGGCGGACGGGUGAGGAAUACAUCGGAAUCUACUUUUUCGUGGGGGAUAACGUAGGGAAACUUACGCUAAUACCGCAUACGACCUACGGGUGAAAGCAGGGGAUCUUCGGACCUUGCGCGAUUGAAUGAGCCGAUGUCGGAUUAGCUAGUUGGCGGGGUAAAGGCCCGCCAAGGCGACGAUCCGUAGCUGGUCUGAGAGGAUGAUCAGCCACACUGGAACUGAGACACGGUCCAGACUCCUACGGGAGGCAGCAGUGGGGAAUAUUGGACAAUGGGCGCAAGCCUGGUCCAGCCAUACCGCGUGGGUGAAGAAGGCCUUCGGGUUGUAAAGCCCUUUUGUUGGGAAAGAAAAGCAGCAGGUUAAUACCCCGCUGUUCUGACGGUACCCAAAGAAUAAGCACCGGCUAACUUCGUG